UGCGGCCGGCCCCGGGCCGGGGCAGCCGCCGCCCAAAGAACACGCUGAGAGCUUUGCCCUCAGCAAGGGCCGGGAACCAAGAGACGCGGGUGGGAACCGAAGAAAGGCAGCGCUUGGGAGAGGCUGGCUGGACAGCAGUGAACAGUCGCUCAGUCCAGCCGCCAGGAAUCGUGCAAAGGAAAUGCAGCUUGACCUUUUUAACCUGGUGCCAGUUUUUAAGACGCUGCAACAGAAGAAAAUACACUUCCAUCUUCAAGAACAUUAAGAACAGCAGUACUACUUCAAGAUGCUGUGCUAGGACAUGGACCGCCAACACUGGAUUAACCUUGCCUAUUAGCUAUGUUUCUGGGAGGAAGAGCAAGUACACGGUUCACAAAUAUACCAAAUAACAACCAAAUAUACCAAAUUUCAACCUGAUGGAUGCAAAAAUACCACUUUUUGAACAAAUAUUGAGCAGAAUGAACAGGUUUAUCCCCUUUGGCUCCACGUUUACCAUCACUGAAAUGAAAUUAAAAACUGGAACAAUGAAACAGCA